rnacentral:rRNA from 1 species
UACGGAGGGUGCGAGCGUUGUCCGGAAUCACUGGGCGUAAAGGGCGCGUAGGCGGCCUGAUAAGUAGGGGGUGAAAUCUUGCGGCUUAACCGCAAGGCUGCCUUCUAAACUGUCGGGCUCGAGCACAGUAGAGGCAGGUGGAAUUCCCGGUGUAGCGGUGGAAUGCGUAGAGAUCGGGAAGAACAUCAGUGGCGAAGGCGGCUUCUGGACGGUAACUGACGCUGAGGCGCGAAAGCGUGGGGAGCAAACAGG